CCUCGGCCUCCCAUAUUGCUUGGAUUACAAGCGUGAACCACCAUGCUCAGCCUCAUUUUUCUUUUUCUUUUUGAGACAGGGUUUGAAUCUGUUGCCCAGGCUGGAGUGCAGUGCUGCAAUCUCAGCUCACUACAACCUCUGCCUUCCGGGCUCAAGCCAUCCUCCCACCUCGGCCUCCCCAGUAGCUGGGACUACAGGCGCAUGCCACCAUGCCCACCUAGUUUUUGUAUUUUUUGUAGAGGCGGGGUUUUGCCACAUUGCCCAGGCUGGUCUCACAUUCCUGAGCUCAACUGAUCCAUCUGCCCUGGCUUCCCGAAGUGCCAGGAUUACAGGUGUGAGCCACCAUGCCCGGCCCAUUUUCUUAAAGGAAUGACUCUGGAUCAGCAGCUUUCAAAUUCUUCCAAAAAAAAAAAUUUUUUUUCUUGAAAACUCAAUAUAAAAGAGAUAAAAGAUGCUCCUCCUAAAGUGAGAUAUGGAGAUGAGAAUUCUGCCUUUUCAUCUUUCCAACUCUCCUGCAGUGGCACUGAAGAAUUUCUGAACAACUUGUAGGGUGCCUUGGGUUAGAGUUUGAAAAUCACUAGGCUAAUCUUCUGUGGUUCUUUAGCCUUCUACUAUAUGACUCCCCUACCAAAGUUCAAAGCCUGACAAAAUUAACCUUAGAGAACAGUCCCUUACUAAAGGAAAAAGGCAGCUCUGGGAUCGUAUCUGAUUACAAUCAUCGACAAUUUCAUGGCAUUUAAAGCAUACAUAGGGCCACACAGGAGAAGCUAUCUAUAAAAUUUGCAUAUAUGCCAAAAGUCAUUCCUACCAGACCUAAUCUAGCCCAAAUGACAGAAAUCAUAUUCUUCUGUUGCAGAAAAAUACUAGACCUAAAAUUUCAUCAAUGUUCAUUUUACAUAUAAAGCCAAACAAAUUUAAUUAAUGAGCACUCCAAAAUUAACAACAGUCCUAGAUACAAAGUUGUAAAAGGUGUUGGCUCUCAUCCUGCAGCAAUCACCACAUUCAACCUAUACCAUCUAUAGAAAGUUAUAAUUUCCUAAGACAAAGGCUAUAAAAAGGCCUUUAGGAAAUGAAAAACCAAUGAAAUGUAUUUUUAAUUGUGUUAAAUAAAGUAAUAUGCUAAAAUAUAUUCUUUAACUCUUUAUCAUAUGUCAUUCUUAAGAAACUGUAAAUAUCAUUCUAGGAUUUGCUUAGUGAUAGUCACUUGGGUACAUCACAACGAAGAGAAUAUAGUUGAAUUAUAUCCAGUAUUUUAUGACUACCUGCAACAGAUAUAUUUAUUGUCAUGAUAAUCUAGAAUUAGGUGCAUACAAUUCCAACACUAGACAAUGAUCCAACAAAUACACAAAACUGUUCUAUAUAAAGAGGAUGCUCUUGUUCCCAUACUUUGAAGGGCUUUUUAGUUCAUGAUAUAAGACUAAAGAGAGGAACUGAUGUAUUAAAUGUAAGAUUUUUUAAAUUGGUGGUCAAAAUCUCUCAGGUUUGAUAUAAAAACAGGGAGACCAAGGGCCAAAGAAAUUAGAUCUUCUCAAAGACAAGUAAUUUUACAGGCAAUGCCAGAGAAACAAAUAUUCAAAAUUUCAACUUCUUUACCGUAUUAUGAAACAACAUAGCAUAAUUGUAAUGAGUAUCUAGAUCAGAUUGCUUGAACUUGUAUCCCAUCAAUUCCUUAUUAGCCAUGUUUCUUCAAACUAAGCCUCAGUUUCUUUAUAUGUAAAAUGCAGAAAAUAAUAUCUACCUCAAAAGAGUAGUAUGAGAAUUUAAUGAAACAAUGCGUAGUCUCUUACAUCACUUAUUAGCUAUGUGAUCUUCAGUAACUAUGUAAAAUGUGGCCAAUAAUAAAUAACAGGAAAGUGAGAAAAGAGUGAAAAAUGCCAGACUUAUUUUUUUUCCUCCCUAACAUUUAAAUAAAUAUUUUCUUUUUUUUUUUUUUCCCUUUGAAACAGGGUCUCACUCUGUCCCAGGAUGGCAUGCAGUGGCACGAUCACAGAUCACUGCAGCCUCAAACUCCCAGGGUCAAACAAUCCUCCCACUUCAGCCUCCCAAGUAGAGCUGGGGCUAUAGGCUGCACCACUACACCUGGCUAAUUUUGAUUUAUUUAUUUGUUUAUUUAUUUAUUUGAGACACAGAGUCUCUCUCUAUUGCCUAGGCUGGAGUGCAGUGUCGUGAUCUCGGAUCACUGCAACCUCUGCCUCCUGGGUUCAAGGGAUUAUGGUGCCUUAGCUUCCCAAGUAGCUGGGAUUACAGGCAUGCGCCACCAUGCCUGGCUAAUUUUUGUAUUUUUAGUAGAGAUGGGGUUUCACCAUGUUGGUCAGGCUGGUCUUGAACUCCUGACCUUAAGUGAUCUGCCCACCUCAGCCUCC
rnacentral:lncRNA from 10 species